rnacentral:rRNA from 1 species
AGUAAAUAGAUACCCGGGUAGUCCACGCCGUAAACGAUGAGUACUAGGUGUAGGAGGUAUCGACUCCUUCUGUGCCGCAGUUAAACACAAUAAGUACUCCGCCUGGGAAGUACGGUCGCAAGAUUAAAACUCAAAGGAAUUGACGGGGGCCCGCACAAGCAGCGGAGCAUGUGGUUUAAAUUCGAAGCAACGCGAAGAACCUUACCUAGACUUGACAUCUCCUGAAUAGUGUAGAGAUACAUGAAGCCCUUCGGGGCAGGAAGACAGGUGGUGCAUGGUUGUCGUCAGCUCGUGUCGUGAGAUGUUGGGUUAAGUCCCGCAACGAGCGCAACCCUUAUUACUAGUUGCUACCAUUAAGUUGAGCACUCUAGUGAGACUGCCCGGGUUAACCGGGA